rnacentral:lncRNA from 1 species
GCUCAUCAACUUGCCCUGACCCCGAGGUUCAGCUUCCUCUUCCGGGGUCUUGUUUUUAUUAGCUAUUUUGUGUCAUUUACUAAAUUAUUUGUUGACUGAAAACCAGGAAUUCCACAAUCCACAGAAGAAAGGCAAGCCUUGGCGGACUAGGGACCGUGCCGCCUUUAGCUCAGCCUCAUAGCAGUGACAUUUCCCCCAAAUGUUGGCUAAUACACAUUGACUGGCACUUGCAAACUACUUUGGGUUUGUGUCUGCGAAGGGGAGGAGUCUUCCCUAAACUGCAGAUAGACCUGCUUGGGCCAGGGGGCAAGAAGUUCCUGGAGUUCGUGUGUGCCUUUGCUGUGACUCUGUUUCGUCCGAAAGGAACAGUUGGCAGCACGCGUAAUCACGACGGUAAUUAUGAUAAAUCCGUUGUCAGCCCGGUUUGGAAGUCCGUAUGA